GUACUGUACAAACUGCUCAGGAAAAUCUAAUAAAAGCCAAGGAGUGACUUUUCACACGUUUCCUCGGCCCGACCAUGAAAAAAGAGAAGCAUGGAUCAAAUUUGUCCAGAAGAAUCGGAGUGAAGAAACGUGGUUACCCUCGGCUCAUACACGUAUAUGUUCCGUGCAUUUUAAAGAAGACCAUAAAUAUACAACAAAAACUGGACGAGUCUACCUUAAGAAAUCUGCGGUACCAUGUGACAAUUCAGAAGAAGUUGAUGAGGUAGAAGAAUCAGAACCAAUGUCUAAUUCUGUAAGCGAUUCUGAAUCGAUAUUUGACACUCCUAGAAAAAUUCUACUGAAAAAACGAUUACGCAAGGUAUCAGCAGCUAAAAAAAACCUUGCUGAAAAAUUUAAAAAAGUACAGAGACAAAAUAAGUAUCUCAAGAAAAAGUGUGAUUGUUACAAGGCAAUGGUGAAGAAAUUAACAGAUAAAUUCAGCCUUGAUUUAAAUGCUGAGAUUGACUUAAUGGGUAAAGCUGAAGUCGUCGAGUUACAUAAGUCUUUAAUGAAACCAAAAAAGCAAAGCAAACAUUAUUUGUUGUAAAUCGCAGACUCGACGACAACAACGUAUAUGGUACAACCUGCAAUUAUUUUU